UUGCUUACUUUAUACUCCCUCGGUCCCGUAAUUCUUGUCGUGAGGGCAAUUUUGCAAAAAGCCCCUCUGGUUUCUCCCGACCAAACCCGCGCUCCUCGUCGUCCUCCUCCGAGAGAAGCCCCAGCUGCGCUGCUCCCCGCCACUGCAGCUUCCCUACUCCGCGCCGCUGCAGGCGCCCUGCUCCCCGCCGCCGCAGCUCCCCUGCUCCCCUACUACAGCUGCCUCCUGCUCCACCACCGCAGCUGCCGCUCGCCUGCCUCCACAAGCUCCCCCUUCCUCAUAAAAAUCUUUGAUUUCCCCAUCUACCGCCGCGCUCUGCUCCAGCUGCGUCGGAACCGGCGGCGGCGAGCCCGGAGGCGCUGGAUCCGGACCACCACCAACAAUCUAAAGGCCGACGAGCCCGACGACGACAGGAGAUGCAUCAAGGUAAACGCCGACGAGCUCGACAAUGACAGUAAGAUAAAGGUUGUGGAUUUGCAAGCGUGGAAGACGACGACGACAGCUCCAUGAGGAAUACGACCGCGGCGGCGUCUUCUUCGUUGUUUCUCUGGUAGAAGACCCCGCGCCCGUGACACCACGGCGCGCCUGCUCAUUUGGCAGCAGCGGCGGCGGCUACAAAUUUUCUCCUCUGCUGCAGAUCAUCUCCAAGUCCUACAGCCUGGGUCAUCUCCGUCACCAACGCCUACAGCCUGGGUGUUUGAUGUGAGGAACAAGCCAGCUUUGCUCAAGGCCGACGAUUGGGCGCGUGUGGUGGCAGUUUAAGGAGUGGCGAAAUCUUCUGUUGGAUUGUUGCAUGCUCUGGUCUGAACGUUUGUGCUUUGAAGGAGUGGUAACAUCUUCAGGUGGAAGGAGUGGUAGUUCAAGGACAUCUUCAGCAGUGGUCUGAAUUGAUUCAGGUGAUUCCUGAAUUGCUGCAUUUUCGACUGCACUAAACAUCUAAAUUAGAGACUGAAUGUUCCUGCUGUAUUUUCUCACAACUAAACGUCUGCACUUCUAGAAUUAGCGUGCACUUAUAGAGUUAGUCUGCACUUAAAAAAAUGGCACAAUAUUGCACAGGAGUAAUCUGUCAUGUGACAGUAGUCAUGAUUAAUUAUCUUGAGCUUUUUCCAUAUAAUUUUUGAAUAGCAGCAUCGUUUAAAUUUGUUUUUUUAACUUGUUUGAUGCAUCCAUGGCCGCAUCCAUAGCAGCGAGUACUGCUUAUUGAGAUACUACUGCUGAUAUUGUUUGGCUGGUGAUAUUGCUUACUGCAGCUAGAGUAGAAGGAAUAGGAGUAGCUGCAACUACAGUUGGAGUAUGAGUACCCCAUAUUGUCGUUCACUGUGAGAUCUUGUGUAAAUAAAAAAAAUGCGUAUCCAUAUUUAGGAGCAGUAACUUUGUUAGAAAGAAAGCUAGCUCUAAACAGAGUUAUAUUUU